rnacentral:tRNA from 1 species
GGGAGUUUAGCUCAGCUGGGAGAGCAUCUGCCUUACAAGCAGAGGGUCAGCGGUUCGAUCNCGUUAACUCCCA